GACGAACGCUGGCGGCGUGCCUAAUACAUGCAAGUUGAGCGCUGAAGGUUGGUACUUGUACCGACUGGAUGAGCAGCGAACGGGUGAGUAACGCGUGGGGAAUCUGCCUUUGAGCGGGGGACAACAUUUGGAAACGAAUGCUAAUACCGCAUAAAAACUUUAAACACAAGUUUUAAGUUUGAAAGAUGCAAUUGCAUCACUCAAAGAUGAUCCCGCGUUGUAUUAGCUAGUUGGUGAGGUAAAGGCUCACCAAGGCGAUGAUACAUAGCCGACCUGAGAGGGUGAUCGGCCACAUUGGGACUGAGACACGGCCCAAACCCCUACGGGAGGCAGCAGUAGGGAAUCUUCGGCAAUGGACGAAAGUCUGACCGAGCAACGCCGCGUGAGUGAAGAAGGUUGUCGGAUCGUAAAACUCUGUUGGUAGAGAAGAACGUUGGUGAGAGUGGAAAGCUCAUCAAGUGACGGUAACUACCCAGAAAGGGACGGCUAACUACGUG
rnacentral:rRNA from 1 species